rnacentral:tRNA from 1 species
ACUAUUUUGGCAGAAAAAUGUAAUGAUUUUAGAUUUCAUAAAUAUAUAAAUUAAGUUUAUAUAAAUAGUA